AAUGAACGCUGGCGGUAGGCCUAACACAUGCAAGUCGAACGGCAGCACAGUAAGAGCUUGCUCUUACGGGUGGCGAGUGGCGGACGGGUGAGGAAUACAUCGGAAUCUACUUUUUCGGGGGGGAUAACGUAGGGAAACUUACGCUAAUACCGCAUACGACCUACGGGUGAAAGCAGGGGAUCUUCGGACCUUGCGCGAUUGAAUGAGCCGAUGUCGGAUUAGCUAGUUGGCGGGGUAAAGGCCCACCAAGGCGACGAUCCGUAGCUGGUCUGAGAGGAUGAUCAGCCACACUGGAAGUGAGACAGGGUCCAGACUCCUACGGGAGGCAGCAGUGGGGAAUAUUGGACAAUGGGGGCAAGCCUGAUCCAGCCAUACCGCGUGGGUGAAGAAGGCCCUCGGGUUGUAAAGCCCUUUUGUUGGGAAAGAAAAGCAGCAGGUUAAUACCCCGCUGUUCUGACGGUACCCAAAGAAUAAGCACCGGCUAACUUCGUG
rnacentral:rRNA from 1 species